UACGGAGGGUGCGAGCGUUGUUCGGAAUCACUGGGCGGAAAGCGCGUGUAGGCGGCCUGCUAAGUCUGAUGUGAAAGCCCGAGGCUCACCCUCGGAAGUGCAUUGGAAACUGGCAGACUGGAGUCCCGGAGAGGAGGGUGGAAUUCCUGGUGUAGCGGUGAAAUGCGUAGAUAUCAGGAGGAACACCGGUGGCGAAGGCGGCCCUCUGGACGGUGACUGACGCUGAGACGCGAAAGCGUGGGGAGCAAACGGG
rnacentral:rRNA from 1 species